rnacentral:lncRNA from 1 species
GAUAGGUCAGACAAGAGAAACAUUUUUUUGGUUUUGAGAGAGAGAAAGAGAAGCUACAAAGAAGAGAAAAAGCAUAAACGUGAUUUACUUUUUUUAAAUGAUUUUUCUCUUUUAUUAGAUAGCUUUUGUUUGUAUUUUUAUAAGGGUAGUUUGGUUAGGAAAAAAAAUGAAAAGUAGUGAAAACAAUGAAAAACAGUCUAUGUAGCAUAAAAGGUGUUAUAAUGAAAGGAGACAUACAUAAACGGUGUCAAUAUGCAACUCUUCCCAAAAAAACGAAGGUAACCAAUCACGGGCUGCCACGUGUCAGUGGAACCCGCGAUUAGUGAAGGAAGAAGGCGCAGGACCGUCCCGUUUUAGCUAACGUCCCUCAGUUUUAUUUUAUUUUUAUUUUAUUUUGGGGGAAAAAGUAUGUGGGACUUCGGCUAUGUACGCUGAUGUACUUGCCCUUAUGGUUUUAAAUUUCCAUUCAGUUCUCAACCCAGCUUCAGAUAGCUCAUUAACCUUUCGUUUCAGAGCAACACAUUCCUCAGAGGUCCUUCCAAUGAGUAAAC